GUCUAUGGCCAUGCUACCCUGAAUGUGCCCGAUCUCGUCUGAUCUCGGAAGCUAAGCAGGGCCGGGCCUGGUUAGUGCUUGGAUGGGAGACCACCUAGGAAUACCAAGUGCUGCAGGCU
rnacentral:rRNA from 1 species